AACGAACGCUGGCGGCAGGCCUAACACAUGCCAGUCGAACGCCCCGCAAGGGGAGUGGCAGACGGGUGAGUAACACGUGGGAACCUUCCCUAUAGUACGGAAUAGCCCAGGGAAACUUGGAGUAAUACCGUAUACGCCCGAAAGGGGAAAGAAUUUCGCUAUAGGAUGGGCCCGCGUAGGAUUAGCUAGUUGGUGAGGUAAUGGCUCACCAAGGCGACGAUCCUUAGCUGGUUUGAGAGAACGACCAGCCACACUGGGACUGAGACACGGCCCAGACUCCUACGGGAGGCAGCAGUGGGGAAUAUUGGACAAUGGGCGCAAGCCUGAUCCAGCCAUGCCGCGUGAGUGAUGAAGGCCUUAGGGUUGUAAAGCUCUUUUGGCGGGGACGAUAAUGACGGUACCCGCAGAAUAAGUCCCGGCUAACUUCGUG
rnacentral:rRNA from 1 species